CCUACACAUGCAAGUCGAGCGCGCCCUUCGGGGUGAGCGGCGGACGGGAUUAGUAACGCGAUGGGAACGUGCCCAGAUCUAAGGAAUAGCCACUGGAAACGGAUGAGUAAUACCUUAUACGCCCUUCGGGGGAAAGAUUUAUCGGAUUUGGAUCGGCCCGCGUUAGAUUACGUAGUUGGUGGGGUAAUGGCCUACCAAGCCUACGAUCUAUAGCUGGUUUUAUAGGAUGAUCACCAACACUGGGACUGAGACACGGCCCAUACUCCUACGGGAGGCAGCAAUGGGGAAUCUUGUCACAAUGGGGGCAACCCUGAUCCAACCAUGCCGCGUGAGUGAUGAAGGCCUUAGGGUCGUAAAGCUCUUUCGCCUGUGAUGAUAAUGACAGUAGCAGUGUAAAGAAACCCCGGCUAACUCCGUGCCAGCACCCGCGGUAAUACGGAGGGGGUUAGCGUUGUUCGGAAUUACUGGGCGUAAAGCGCGCGUAGGCGGAUUAAUCAGUUAGAGGUGAAAUCCCAGGGCUCAACCCUGGAACUGCCUUUAAUACUGCUAGUCUUGAAUUCGAGAGAGGUGAGUGGAAUUCCGAGUGUAGAGGUGAAAUUCGUAGAUAUUCGGAGGAACACCAGUGGCGAAAGCGGCUCACUGGCUCGAUACUGACGCUGAAGUGCGAAAGCGUGCGGAGCAAACAGGAUUACAUACCCUGGUAGUCCACGCCGUAAACGAUGAAUGCCAGUCGUCAGAAGGCUUGCCCUUUGGUGACACACCUAACGGAUUAAACAUUCCGCCCGGGGAGUACGGCCGCCAGGCUAAAACUCAAAUGAAAUUGACGGGGGCCCACACCAGCGGGGGAACAUGUGGUUUAAUUCCAUGCAACGCGAA
rnacentral:rRNA from 1 species